rnacentral:tRNA from 1 species
GCCGGCCUAGCUCAACUGGUAGAGCAUCUGACUUGUAAUCAGUAGGUUGGGGGUUCAAGUCCUCUGGCCGGCACCA